GAUGAACGCUGGCGGCGUGCUUAACACAUGCAAGUCGAGCGAGUGAGUUCUUCGGAACGAUCUAGCGGCGGACGGGUGAGUAACACGUGGGCAACCUGCCUCAUAGAGGGGAAUAGCCUCCCGAAAGGGAGAUUAAUACCGCAUAACAUCGUUGAAGGGCAUCCUUCGAUGAUAAAAGGAGUAAUCCGCUAUGAGAUGGGCCCGCGGCGCAUUAGCUAGUUGGGGAGGUAACGGCUCACCAAGGCGACGAUGCGUAGCCGAACUGAGAGGGUGAUCGGCCACAUUGGGACUGAGACACGGCCCAGACUCCUACGGGAGGCAGCAGUGGGGAAUAUUGCACAAUGGGGGAAACCCUGAUGCAGCAACGCCGCGUGAGUGAUGACGGCCUUCGGGUUGUAAAGCUCUGUCUUUGGGGACGAUAAUGACGGUACCCAAGGAGGAAGUCACGGCUAACUACGUGCCAGCAGCCGCCGUAA
rnacentral:rRNA from 1 species